GAAAAACAUGGCUGUCCCUACUACAAGAAUCUGGCAGCCAUAGUUGAGCCAAAAACAGUGGUUUCAUCUGUGUUUUUGGCCUCAUUUUUGUUCCUCUUUCAUUGCUUCUUCUUGUGCCUUUGUGACUUAUAAAACAUCAUCAUUAUCUUAUCCUUUAUAAGUGAGAUUGAGAAACAAUCGAGGUAAAUAUAUUGAUUGUGUAUUGGAGCUGUUUGGAUUGGUUGUUUAGUAGAGAAAGUUAAUGUGAAACUGAGCUCGAAAAUCAUCGAUCGGUCCUUGGAACAAGCUUCCGCGACACAACUAAUAUAUGUGAUCAAUUUAUGUUAAAAGUUUGAAUUUUAACGUGAAUUUGUAAAAUAUUUAUUUCUAUUUUUGACGCAUAUUGGAUGAUUAAUGAAGUUCUUUAGGAGUUUGAUGUUCUUAUUUUGAUUGUUUCAAUGGGUGCUAUUUAUUUAUCUUUAGAAUUUCAAGCUCAAUUUGGAUUCAGAGUGGUUGAUCAUUUGCCAUUUAAUUCAUACGUGAGAAAAAUUGUUGGAGAUGAUUGAGGAGAUGUGAUUGAUAAUGAUCGAUGAAAAAGCUUAUUAAAGUGAAUAUUUUACGAGUGUCAUAGCCACGCUUGCUGAACAAUAUAUUGUUCAAGCCACUGCCCCUUGGAGUAAUUGAACGUUCUUCCUAUACUUACUCUUUUAAUUCUCAGUUUGACCCACAUAUUAAGCAUUUGAUGUUGAAUUGAUUGGUAAAUGUGCUAGGUAAGAAGUUAUUUUGCAAUUUAGUCAAGAAAAUCCUGCAGGAUUGUUGUGAACCCCUUACAUAAAUUUUCCCCAACAGUCAGUUUGGCCACGGGGAUUGCCCUUGGUAAAAUGUAGGUGAGACUGGGCACGAUGAGUUUUACACUGAGGUUUUUGGUAGUAGACAGUUUAUACGACAAGGGCAUUUUGUUUUAGUACGUUUUCCUCUUGUUCUCAUCGAGCUCUGUGAUGUAGAGUUAUACUCAGUACAUCCCUUUGCCAAUCACUGAUAUGGAGUCCUAGUUGAAAGUACCCUCAAUAUAUGUUCUUGACAGCUCUGUUUCUGGGAUGAUUAUUAAUGCCUUUGUUGAGGUACUCAUGCUAUUGUGGAAUGACAAGUGGUUUAUAUAAACCGAUAUAGCAACUUAAUAUUUGUCUUGUAUUUUCACAGCUCCAAAGACUUGUCUGCUUCAAGUUGUGGAUCCUCCAUGGGAAAUUGUAUUUUGCUGGUGCUUGUGAAGCUUAUGUGAUACUCCCUCAGACAAAUGGCGACAAAAACAACCAAGACAUGAACUUGAAUGGGGAUGUAGAAUUAGAUUCUACUAAAAAUCUGCAAGAACUAAUAGCUUAUUAUCAGAUCUUUUCUUGCACAACUUGUAAUCCCCAUUGUUGAUUUUACUCUUUUUCCAUGUGUCAUCAUGCAUUUUUUAGUAAUUCUU
rnacentral:lncRNA from 1 species